UCUAAGAGAGCACUGCCCGGGGUCUUUUCUGCUUUAUUAUGUCUCUCUCCCCAAUGUCUAUCUCAAAUAUUGAAACUCCAUUCCUGCUGUAAGCUCAAAGGGAGAAGGAAUUUUGCCCUUUCACUUUCCUCCAGUAGUCCACUUAUUUUAGAAGACUUUAGCAGUCUAUCCAAGCCCGAAACUUUAUUAGGGUCUUUCCCCUGACCAUGGUAAUAUAGGUCCUCUGAGCUUUUUCCAAACAGCAGCAGCAGGUUUAUAAAUUGGCAUGAUUUAUACACUGCCACUCACACUCUAAAGGCCACGAUGAACUGCAGCAGACUUCUGCCACUCUUCUCCUCCAAGCAAGGUGAACCUGCAGGCAGACCAGGAGGUGGCUAUUCAAUUUGAAGAACAGCUGUUUGGAAACACUUUCUCAAGACAUUGCCAGCUGCUCAGCAUCCUGAUCCACUACACAUUUCUAAACAUGUUAAAUAGAUUUAUUUUCCACUUGCA